GACGAACGCUGGCGGCGUGCCUAACACAUGCAAGUCGAGCGAGUGAAUCUCCUUCGGGAGUGAAGCUAGCGGCGGACGGGUGAGUAACACGUGGGCAACCUGCCUCAUAGAGGGGAAUAGCCUUCCGAAAGGAAGAUUAAUACCGCAUAAGAUUGUAGCUUCGCAUGAAGUAGCAAUUAAAGGAGCAAAUCCGCUAUGAGAUGGGCCCGCGGCGCAUUAGCUAGUUGGUGAGGUAACGGCUCACCAAGGCGACGAUGCGUAGCCGACCUGAGAGGUGAUCGGCCACAUUGGGACGGAGACACGGCCCAGACUCCUACGGGAGGCAGCAGUGGGGAAUAUUGCACAAUGGGGGAAACCCUGAUGCAGCAACGCGCGUGAGUGAUGACGG
rnacentral:rRNA from 1 species